UUUGGUGUGGCAGAGUCCGGACAUUGCAAUAGGCCUAAGCCCUUUAUACAGAGGUUCAAGUCCUCUCUCCAACU
rnacentral:tRNA from 1 species